rnacentral:rRNA from 1 species
GCCCAGACUCCUACGGGAGGCAGCAGUGGGGGAUAUUGCACAAUGGGGGGAACCCUGAUGCAGCGACGCCGUGUGGGUGAAGAAGCGCCUCGGCGCGUAAAGCCCUUUCAGCAGGGAAGAAAAUGACGGUACCUGAAGAAGAAGCCCCGGCUAACUACGUGCCAGCAGCCGCGGUAAUACGUAGGGGGCAAGCGUUAUCCGGAUUUACUGGGUGUAAAGGGAGCGUAGACGGUGAAGCAAGUCUGAAGUGAAAGGCGGGGGCUCAACCCCCGGACUGCUUUGGAAACUGUUUGUCUGGAGUGCAGGAGAGGUAAGUGGAAUUCCUAGUGUAGCGGUGAAAUGCGUAGAUAUUAGGAGGAACACCAGUGGCGAAGGCGGCUUACUGGACUGUAACUGACGUUGAGGCUCGAAAGCGUGGGGAGCAAACAGGAUUAGAUACCCCGGUA